rnacentral:rRNA from 1 species
CGCACCCUUCGGGGUGAGUGGCGGACGGGUGAGUAGCGCGUGGGAACCUGCCCCGAGCACCGGGACAACCGCGGGAAACUGCGGCUAAUACCGGAUGACGCCCUGCGCGAGCAGGGCCAAAGUCCUGAUCUUCGGAUUGGGGCGGCGUGGGAGGGGCCCGCGUCCGAUUAGCUGGUUGGUGGGGUAACGGCCCACCAAGGCUGUGAUCGGUAGCUGGUCUGAGAGGACGAUCAGCCACACUGGGACUGAGACACGGCCCAGACUCCUACGGGAGGCAGCAGUGGGGAAUCUUGGACAAUGGGGGCAACCCUGAUCCAGCGACGCCGCGUGGGUGAUGAAGGCCUUCGGG